UACUAUUCCCCCAUGAGCUAUGCCCAUACUCUGUGACCUCUUUCUGCUUCAUCUCUCUCUAAACAAAAAAGCACUAUGACUUUAGGACUUUAUAUCAUUUUGGUUUUAGCCAUUUCCCAAGAAGUCCGGUCAGCAAUCCAGUUGGAAGAAUCUGGAGGGGAUACAAAAAAGCCGGGAGAGUCCGUCCGUCUCAGCUGCGAAGGUUCUGGCUUCACCUUCAGCAGCUACUGGAUGAGCUGGGUGAGACAAGCUCCUGGGAAAGGUCUCGAAUGGGUUGCCUAUAUCCACCCAACCUCAGCUUCCACUUAUUAUCCAGAUGUGGUGAAAGGGCGCUUCACCAUCUCCAGAGACAAUUCAAACAACAUGCUCUAUUUGCAAAUGAACAGUCUAAAACCAGAAGACACUGCUACAUAUUACUGUGCAAGAGACACAGUGUGAGGAAGUGAAUGUGAAGCCAAGCAAAAAUUGCUAGACUACAAAAGGAUGAAAUAGGGUGCAUUAUGGCAAUGCAAUCCACUUACACAAGUCUGACGAUAUAUUGCUGAGAUUUUGUGUAUUCUUAGCAG